UACGUAGGGGGCAAGCGUUGUUCGGAUUUAUUGGGCGUAAAGAGCGUGUAGGCGGCCAAACAGGUCAGCUGUGAAAACUCGAGGCUCAACCUCGAGACGUCGGUUGAAACCGUUUGGCUAGAGUCCGGAAGAGGAGAGUGGAAUUCCCGGUGUAGCGGUGAAAUGCGCAGAUAUCGGGAAGAACACCCGUGGCGAAGGCGGCUCUCUGGGACGGUACUGACGCUGAGACGCGAAAGCGUGGGGAGCGAACAGG
rnacentral:rRNA from 1 species